GGAUGUGAGGGCGAUCUGGCUGUGACAUUUGUCACUCCAUUGAUCUCCAGGGUUGAUUCGGCUGCUCUGGUUGUCUAGGCGGGUGUCCCCUUCCUCCCUCAACACUCCAUGUGCGUCCCUGCCAAAACUGUGCACUGGGUCAGAGAGGAUGACCACCCGCAAAGAGGAGGACCAUUCCUCGGUCAAGGGUAUAGGAGAAGCUGCAUUCCACUGCUAGGACCUCCAGACAGGCUCUCAAGGUCCAUGUCUGUUCGUGUUUCUUAUUCUAUUUCACAAUCUCUCUUGUAUCCACAGACAUUUCUCAACAUAUCUGUAUUCUUCU
rnacentral:snRNA from 1 species